UACGUAGGGUGCGAGCGUUGUCCGGAAUUAUUGGGCGUAAAGGGCUCGUAGGCGGUCUGUCACGUCGGGAGUGAAAACUCGGGGCUUAACCCCGAGCCUGCUUCCGAUACGGGCAGACUAGAGGUAUGCAGGGGAGAACGGAAUUCCUGGUAUAGCGGUGAAAUGCGCAGAUAUCAGGAGGAACACCGGUGGCGAAGGCGGUUCUCUGGGCAUUACCUGACGCUGAGGAGCGAAAGUGUGGGGAGCGAACAGG
rnacentral:rRNA from 1 species